rnacentral:lncRNA from 1 species
UCUUCUUCUUUUUUCCUUUUUUUGGUGUGAUCUUGGUGUCUUCAUAAAAAUCAUGUCAAAGUCCGGAGCAAGAUCUUCUUCACAAUCUCCCUCGUUUUGAUGAUGAAUAACCAACACUUUUUGAAAAUGGAUUUUUCUUUGAAAUAAGCCUACUUCAAGAGAUAUAACAUGUUUUAAUUUAAGUAUGAUCUCCCUUUCUUGUAUGCCUCCUUUUGUGUUUAAUUUUUGUGCCUGAAAUAAAUGUUGACCGAGAAAUACAAACUCCACCUUUUCUCUGCCUUUGGACUUUAUCCAAAAGAAGAAAAAGCUAGGUUUCCAGCAUAGUAUAUAUAGAUAGCAAUAACAAAAAAGGGUAAUAAGAUUUAGUUUGGCUUUAUUUUGAAAGCCAAGGUUAGAAUAAAUGAGAUGAACUCAAUUUAUGGAAAUGA